rnacentral:rRNA from 1 species
GGUUUGGUGGUCAUAGCACGAGCAAAACACCCGGUCCCAUCCCGAACCCGGCCGUUAAGUGCCGUCGCGCCAAUGGUACUGCGUCUCAAGACGUGGGAGAGUAGGUCGCCGCCAAACCUG